GGACCCUUAGCUCAGACGGUUAGAGCAUCUGACUCAUAAUCAGAGGGUCGCUGGUUCGAUCCCAGCAGGGUCCACUA
rnacentral:tRNA from 1 species